GGGGAUUUAGCUCAGUGGUAGAGCGCUUGCCUAGCAAGUGCAAGACCCUGGAUUCGGUCCCCA
rnacentral:tRNA from 1 species